rnacentral:rRNA from 1 species
GGUAAUUCUAGAGCUAAUACAUGCCGAAAAGGCCCCUCGCGGGGUUGUAUUUAUUAGAUUAAAGGCCGUUGGGAGCUUGCUCCCAUUUGGUGAAUCAUGAUAACUGCUCGGAGCGUAUGGCCUUGCGCCGACGCCGCUUCAUUCAAAUACCUGCCCUAUCAGCUUGUCGGUACUGUAGUGGACUACCGAGGCUUUCACGGGUAACGGGGAAUUAGGGUUCGAUUCCGGAGAGAGGGCCUGAGAAACGGCCCUCAUGACUAAGGUCAGCAGCAGGCGCGCAAAUUAUCCACUCUCAAUUCGAGGAGAUAGUGACAAUAAAUAACAAUAGAGGGCUCUUUUGGGUCUUCUAAUUGGAAUGAGAACAAUCUAAAUCCCUUAACGAGGAUCAAUUGGAGGGCAAGUCUGGUGCCAGCAGCCGCGGUAAUUCCAGCUCCAAUAGCGUAUAUUAAAGUUGUUGACGUUAAAAAGCUCGUAGUCGACUUUCGGCCCUAGCCGACCGGUCCGCUCAAUGAGUGUGUACUGGACUCGGCUGGGGCUUUACCUCCUAGUGAACGCGCAUGCCCUUUACUGGGUGUGCGCGGGAACUCGGAAUUUUACUUUGAAUAAAUCAGAGUGUUCAAAGCAGGCAUGUUUGCCCGAAUGUUACAGCAUGGAAUAAUAGAAUAGGAUGCGUGCCUCUAUUGGUCUUUUAGAGGCACCUUAAUGAGAAAUAGGGGCGGCUCGGGGGCAUUUGUAUUCAAUUGCUAGAGGUGAAAUUCUUGGAUUUAUUGAAGACAAACUACUGCGAAAGCAUUUGCCAAGGACGCUUUCAUUGAUCAAGAACGAAGGUCGGGGGAUCGAAAACGAUUAGAUACCGUUGUAGUCUCGACAGUAAACUAUGCCAACCGGCGAUGGGUGGGGAUUUUCUUAAUGACCCCAUCUGCAGCCAAAGAGAAAUUCUUGAGUGCGGUUCGUGGGGGAGUACGGUCACAAGGCUGAAACUUAAAGGAAUUGACGGAAGGGCACCACCAGGAGUGGAGCCUGCGGCUUAAUUUGACUCAACACGGGGAAACUCACCAGGUCCAGACACAAUUAGGAUUGACAGAUUGAUAGCUCUUUCUUGAUCUUGUGGUUGGUGGUGCAUGGCCGUUCUUAGUUGGUGGAGUGAUUUGUCUGGUUAAUUCCGAUAACGAACGAGACCUUAACCUGCUAAAUAGCCCAGUCGACUUUGGUUGACUGCUGGCUUCUUAGAGGGACUAUCGACGUUUAGUCGAUGGAAGUUUGAGGCAAUAACAGGUCUGUGAUGCCCUUAGAUGUUCUGGGCCGCACGCGCGCUACACUGACAGAGCCAGCGAGUUCUUUUCCUUGGCCGGAAGGCCUGGGUAAUCUUGUGAAACUCUGUCGUGAUGGGGAUAGAGCAUUGCAAUUAUUGCUCUUCAACGAGGAAUUCCUAGUAAGCGUGAGUCAUCAGCUCGCGUUGAUUACGUCCCUGCCCUUUGUACACACCGCCCGUCGCUACUACCGAUNGAAUGGCUUAGUGAGGUCUCCGGAU